rnacentral:rRNA from 1 species
UACAGAGACUGCAAGCGUUAUUCGGAUUCACUGGGCGUAAAGGGUGCGCAGGCGGCCAAGUGUGUGAGGCGUGAAAGCCCGGGGCUUAACCCCGGAAUUGCACCUCAAACUACAUGGCUAGAGCAUUGGAGAGGGUAGCAGAAUUCAUGGUGUAGCAGUGAAAUGCGUAGAGAUCCGGAGGAACACCAGUGGCGAAGGCGACACGCUGGGCCGUACCUGACGCUAAAGCGCGACAGCAUGGGGAGCAAACGGG